rnacentral:rRNA from 1 species
UACGUAGGGUGCAAGCGUUGUCCGGAAUUAUUGGGCGUAAAGGGCUCGUAGGCGGUUUGUCACGUCGGGAGUGAAAUCUUACAGCUUAACUGUGAACUUGCUUUCGAUACGGGCAGACUUGAGGCAUUCAGGGGAGAACGGAAUUCCUGGUGUAGCGGUGAAAUGCGUAGAGAUCGGCAGGAACAGCCCAGGGGGAAACCGAGUGGACUGGGCAUGAGCUGACGCUCAGGUGCGAAAGCGUGGG